rnacentral:tRNA from 1 species
GCGGAUAUGGUGAAAUUGGUAGACACGCCAUCUUGAGGGGGUGGUGAGCCUAGCUCGUGCGAGUUCAAGUCUCGCUAUCCGCACCA